AAGGGAGACCUAAUUCCGGUAGGAGACGAAAAAAAAGUAGUCCCUACCAAGAAUCAAUCCCAAAAGGUCGGAGCGAGGCAAAAUUGGCUUUCAAACUAGGUUCUGGGUUCACACAAGACCUGAAUCAGGAACAAGGGCUAUUAGCUCAGGUGGUUAGAGCGCACCCCUGAUAAGGGUGAGGUCCCUGGUUCGAGUCCAGGAUGGCCCACCUGCACAGGUGGAAGAAAGAAAAAAGCUCCGAAUCAGCACCUUAUCUUACUUAUAUAGUAAGAGAGAAUGCUGGCUCUGAGUACAGAGUCCAGAGGAACCAUGAAAACUGCAUAGAGCUAGGUGAAAAAGCCAAAAAAGAAGACCGCAAGGUCAAGCUAAUAAGGGCUAACGGU
rnacentral:tRNA from 1 species